UACGUAGGAGGCAAGCGUUGUCCGGAAUCACUGGGCGUAAAGCGCGUGUAGGCGGAUCGCUAAGUCUGUGGUGAAAGCGCCUGGCUUAACCGGGCGAGGUCCAUGGAAACUAGCGGUCUGGAGGCCGGUAGAGGGGGGUGGAAUUCCGGGUGUAGUGGUGAAAUGCGUAGAGAUCCGGAGGAACACCAGUGGCGAAGGCGGCCCCCUGGGCCGCGCCUGACGCUGAGAAGCGAAAGCAUGGGGAGCGAACAGG
rnacentral:rRNA from 1 species